CCCGGCAUUAAUGCUGUCACAUGUAAAGGGACAGACAGACCCUGUGGUGAGGCGUAAGCUCUGCACUGGGGGUGGUAUUAACAGAUACUACAUACCAAGAAAGACAUCAAGAAAAAAAAAUCCUGAAAUUGCCUCCAUCAGCAUGGCUUUGAGAUGAGGGAAUCAGUGACACAGAGCCUUUGGAAAGUGGUUUGCAAAGCUCCACUUAGAGGGGUCUCCAAAACACAUCCCUGUCUGACAGGGACCUGGAAUCUGUGUGAUCGAGUCUCCACAUGGAUCUGUCUCUUCUAUUGCAGAGCUGCUGCUGAAUUCUGGGAAGCUACAGAGACUGUACUACAGGUACAGGCUCAUGCCUCUCCAAAGACCUUCUCUGAGACACUUCAUCAAGAAGAUACUCUAGUUACCAUCUGAAACACAAACCAUGCUGUUCGAUUCACAAGAGAGGAGCUGUCACUGAAAAUUAAUUCUGCUUUAAAUAGGCUGGCUAGGGCUCCAUCUGUAAGCAAAACUUGAAGGAGCCUGUGAAAACCUUCAGAAAAACACUGCAAAUGGUAACCUGAGAAGAGUACGGAUUUUUUAUUAUUAUUAUUUAUUUUAUGUCCCUUCUUGCUGUCUAAGCAGCUCAUGUUCCUCUUUUCCUCCUACAGGCCUCCUCAUUAAAAUCAAAUGUUUAAAAUGACAAUGCAAAGAAAGAUGUGGUCAUUGUGCAAGACAACUAGUUGGAAAAACACUUUUUUCCCCCAUUACUCGAUCUUACAAGUGAGCAACAGCAGGAGAACCGCAAGGAAGAAAAACAAAUGAGCAUAUGGAGAAGACAACAAACAAGCAGGCAAGCCAGGAAGGAAGAGAAGACUUUUUCCUGGUACCCAGUCAUUCCGUCAUUCGUCUAUAAAGAAGGAAAGGUUACAACUGAAUUACUCAUGCAGAGCUGGCACAGGCCAGCCGCAAGCCCUCUGCGCUCACUGUCAGAGGUGUCAGUACAUGUGUUAUGCCUCCUUUGGUGCACCUUCGUGACAGUCUGUUAGGCUGCCUUCAAUGCCAUCCUGGUGGGGUUUGAGGCUGGCUGCCUGAUACCUCUGCCUAGUCAAUCAGGCGAGCUACCGAAGUGCAGAAGCUGGAGGAGGGAAAAUGAUCAGUUAUCUAGAAAACAAGGAAAAAGCUAAACUUAGGCUAGUUCCUCUGCCAUCUCAGAAAAGGCAAUAAAAACACUCUGAAUUCAACCACUUGCUUUGAAUCAAGACUGGGUAUACUCAAAAUGCCAAACAAGGUAAAAGAAUGAGAAACAGGAUGAUGACAUCAGUAUCAGUACAAAAAAUGAUUGCCUGUGAUUAAGGUGAGGGAAGUACACUGUAUCACACAUCCUAGAGAAACAACAGCUCAUCUUUCAUGUCAGAUCUAGUUCUGAACUGUGCUGAAGCUAUAUUGCUUGCUCAAGUACCAGGAGAUGCACCCCUACUAGCUCUACUUCACUUCUUUAUAAUGAUGUGCAGUAUCACCACUACUGGUCCAGCUCUAUUUAGGACAAGUUACCUUAGCAAUGCUCUCUUUCCUUCUGCAUCCCUACAAACUGUGUACUUCCCUUAAAAUAUAACAAUGGUUGGACGUGAUCUUGGAAGUCUUUUCCAACCUAAACGAUUUUAUGACUCUCUAUAUAAUUACACAUAUAUGCAGAAAAUUCCCAAAUAACAUUUUUUCCCCUUUGUGAAAGUGAAUAGUGGAAAAGAAGAAAACUACUACUGUAUACCCAUUUGUACAGGAAAAUCCCAUGCAAUUUACCACAGGCUGGUGACACCCUAACAGAGCUAAGCAAGGCUGCAAUAAUCUUGUGAUCUAGUGGUGGCACUGCAUGUAUUUUCAAAGAAGUCAGAGAAGGCUAAUAGGGGUGCAUCUCCUGGUCUAUAGUCCAUCUGCUAUUUCAUUCUAGAUCUUCUGCGGACAACCAGCAGUGCUAAGUGAGGCAGUGACGAUCUAAUGAUCUGUAGGAAACUGCAAACCUUGCUUCUCCCCUUUAACUCAGUCACUGUUGGAAGCCACGUGGUCUUGCUGAGGCGAAGGUCAUUAACAAACUGUGAAAAAUGCAUCUUCGGUAUCUAGCCACAACUACCUAAAUUGUUUUCUCCCCCUACAAACUGUCUUAAUCUGUAAAUUAUGCUUUUGACUAUCUGGACUAUAUUCCCAAAGACAACCUAGCAGAACAAAAAUAAAAUUGCUGAACCGUACUCGUGUAACGUAGACCAAACUGAGUAAUUACUACUCACAGAAAAGAUGUAAUAGUCACAUGAUAGAGUGCAAGCUGCCCAGGAGACAUUGAACCCCACUGCUUGUUAGUGCAUUUAUUAGAGAUCAUUACCACAAUGCACUGCAUAGGUGCCAAGCAUCUUCAAAUGGCUUUGUGAACAUCAGUCUCUAGAAGGACAUUAGUUAACAUUAAUCUUCAGAUGUCACAUUUAACCUCUGGAGAGGCACGCGCAAAAUUAAGUUAAUUAGACCACAGGCUUAGCAACAAGAGAAGCUAAUUAUACAGCACAUUUCCAAGUGGCACAUUCAGUUCAUAAGCUACUCUAAUGGAGUUUUACACUUCACCCACUAAUACGAACAUGGCCAUUUGAUACCACGGCUGUCACAGCAUAAUUUCAGAUAGGCAAAACUACUUUCAUCAAAAGGUAUGUUUCAGGUAUGUUUAAUUAGGCUGUAAAUCAACCUACUGUAUUUUAUUGCUCUUCUUUAUAGGCUGAAAAAUAAAAUCAGUAUGACUGAAAUGUCAUACUGGGUAAAAAAAAAAAGUUAUAACUGUAUUUUAGUCUGGGAAAUAUCUCUUUUGCUUAAAUGUAUUUUGAAGAGCACAAACAUAUUAGAAAUUAUUCCUGUUCUAUAUCCUGAGGUAUUAGCACUGACUAUUAACAGCCGUAAUUCAUUAUAACCCCAAACCUUUUAGGUUACAAAGAAGCUUAGAGAAUCACCUAGUUCAGGAAAAAAUGAAGGAGUGUGGGUUUUCUUCUCAGUAUGCUUGGUGUAAAAAGCCCUUGAGUAUAAAUGAAGUGUAUGUGGGGAAGACUGGGAAAGAGGCCCAGAAAAUGCAUUAAGACUUGCAGAGGUCACAUCCUUGUAAACUAUCUGAAUUAGUUUAAUAAGGAGGAAAUUUGGUCUAAGCCAGAACAUCCUUGGUGUUAAUAACUGCACAGUAUUCCCUUGUAGCUUGUUCCACUACUUAUCUAGUCUCAAGCUUUGUUGUUGUCAUUGUUGAUAUACAUUUUCUCUUUUGUAUUGUAAAUCCAUUAUUUGCUUUGUCCUUGUUGACUAGAAUAACAGAAUAAAGUAAUUUUUACAUCAUGCCUUGAGGUUUCUGAAGACAGUUAUAUCUUUCCUAUCACUUUAUUCCACCCUGACCAUGAGUAAUUGUCUUAAUUUUUCCUUGAGGGUCUUAUUUUCCCAAGCGUAUUAUUAAUCACCCCAGAAAUAUGUCUGUAUGUAUGAGGAUCACAGAAUUGUGACUUACAAAGAUGAAAAUAAUGAUUUCUCAGAACCAAGAAAAUACAGGCAAAAACCUUCAGCUGAGAUUUCUCUGUUGGACUAUGGCUGUUUUUGAAAAAUAAACUAAGCUAAGCUGUUUAGAAAUUCUC
ensembl:lncRNA